GUGCUUGCUUCGGCGGCACCUAUACUAAAAUUGGAACGAUACAGAGAAGAUUAGCAUGGCCCCUGCACAAGGAUGACACACAAAUUCGUGAAGCGUUCCAUAUUUAA
rnacentral:snRNA from 1 species